rnacentral:rRNA from 1 species
UAGGGAAUCUUCCGCAAUGGACGCAAGUCUGACGGAGCAACGCCGCGUGAGUGAAGAAGGAUUUCGGUUCGUAAAACUCUGUUGUUAGAGAAGAACAGCGCAUAGAGUAACUGUUAUGCGUGUGACGGUAUCUAACCAGAAAGCCACGGCUAACUACGUGCCAGCAGCCGCGGUAAUACGUAGGUGGCAAGCGUUGUCCGGAUUUAUUGGGCGUAAAGCGAGCGCAGGCGGUCAAUUAAGUCUGAUGUGAAAGCCCCCGGCUCAACCGGGGAGGGUCAUUGGAAACUGGUUGACUUGAGUGCAGAAGAGGAGAGUGGAAUUCCAUGUGUAGCCGUGAAAUGCGUAGAUAUAUGGAGGAACACCAGUGGCGAAGGCGACUCUCUGGUCUGUAACUGACGCUGAGGCUCGAAAGCGUGGGUAGCAAACAGG